GUAGAUGAACCUGCGGAAGGAUCAUUACAGAGUUCAUGCCCUCACGGAUAGAUCUCCCACCCUUGAAUAUUAUACCUUCGUUGCUUAGGCAGGCCAUGGAAACACCAUGAGCUCCGGCUGAUGCGUGCCUGCCAGAGGAAACAAAACUCUGUUUUUAGUGAUGUCGGAGUACUAUAUAAUAGUUAAAACCUUCAACAACGGAUCUCUUGGUUCUG
rnacentral:misc_RNA from 1 species